rnacentral:misc_RNA from 1 species
UCGUACCAUGGGGGUACCACGGCUGUCGCUGACCACUUAAAUGGUCGUGCACGCCCGAGUGCUCUCACAUACAAAUAUCCAUCUCACCCCUUUGUGCAUCACCGCGUGCGUUCCCUUUCCUCGGAGGGGGUCCUCACGUUUUUAACAUCAAACACCCAUUCGAACGUAGUGUAGAAUGUUCUUUGCGCCUGAGUGCGCGAUCAAUA